rnacentral:lncRNA from 1 species
UGUAAAAAAUUCAUGGAAUUCACCCUUGCAAAAGGGGAUUCAGGUUUUUGCUGCGUACAUUUUCAGUGACAAAACAGAAUUUCCAUUUUAAGAUCAAGUUGAAACGGAAUUUAACGGAAAAUACCAGUUUUUGAAACGGAAAAUUACUGUCUGUAGAUGUCUUUUUAAUGUGGAGUAGAUCCGCAUCAACUGUUGUAUUUCACAAUGAAGAUCAAUUCAGAUGUGACUAAAUUUUAAUGAGUCAAUGUGAGGUAAGCCUCCUACCAUAGUAAUUCAUGUUUGAUCGUGAAAUCUUUUCUGUAUUUCUUGUAGAUUUGGCUAGUUUACAUGAGACACAGUUUUUUUUAUUCUGGAAUGUCACAAAAAAUGGACCCAACCCGAUGGAAUAACCCAUGUACAUUACAUUCCAAGGCUCUGGUAUAUUACAAGAUGAAAUUGACAUGCACCCUACAUGCAUUUCUUGUAAAUUUCAGAGUUACAUGAACUGGCAUUCCUUUAAAACAGAUCUACAUGUAUUCCAUUCUUUUAUUCCCAGCUGAUUACACACAGAUAUACAACCAAAAUGUAAGUUAUACUACUGUGUAAUCUUCGGGUUACUACUGACCAGUGUGAUUUAAUGCCUGCAUGUUCCUUAUCGUGUGAACGUGCCUCUGAUUUUGUUAAUUGAGAUUAUUUUACAUUGGUAAAGGCUCUGUCAUAUUGUUCCUGCAGCAAAGAUAUUCAUGAGCAUGUUCAAAACUUUUCUGUGUGCAAAUUUUAUACUUGUGCGCUUCUGCGGGCAACUGCGUGUGACAUACGUGCGAGAUACUGUCAAUGCAGGCUAUCUGUGAGUAGCAGAAAUAGUCACCCUUCGGUCACAUGCAAGGCCUUCAUGGAAUAAUGUGACAGUGCCUUAACAUUAGACUGUACAACUUUAACAUUACAACCAUAACAUUAGACUGUUCACUUCUGGCGACUAUUUGUAUGUUGUAAUAUGUAAGCUGGGCGGCCACAUUUAUUUAUUGACAUUCCUCUUUGUUACAUAAUUAUAUGGUUGUGUUCAAAACGGUUUGCUGUUCUUCUAUGCCCCUUUUGAGUUAUAUAGCUGAAGUUAUGAUCAAUUGCACUUUGAGAUUGAUUUGAAUCUAUCGCAACUCUUUAAGACAGGAACCCUAAGUCCUUGACCUUGCCUUGGCCAGUCAUGCCUUGGAUUUAUGGUCCAAUAGGAGUCAAUUGAUUGGGAAGUUAAAUUUUAUCAAAGGAUUGAUUUUUAUAUUCCUUUUUUAAUCCCUAAAGAUCCAUAACGUGACUGGGCUGAUGAAACCUUUUAUCUCAAAAUUUAAAUAUUAUGAUGACAGCUAAGCAUAAGUUAGAUUUUAGAGGUAUAACAUGGGUAGCAACCUUUUGCCUCAAAGAAUUCUUCACAGGUAUCAGGAAACUGUUUCACAGACAGUGUGAGACUGCCACCGUUGUUAUAUUUAUUUAAAAAAAAAACAGCCAUUCCAAAGCUGCCAUAAUUUUUUUAGAUUUUGAAGUACAAGGUUUUGUCAGCACAGCCAUGAUAAUUUCAGUAUAAAAUCCAUACAAAAGACUUACCCCCCAUUUAAAGGGUGAGAACAUUUACAUUUGUUACCAAUAGCUACAUGUGCAUGUGUAGUCUAAGGCACAAGUCAGUAAUUUUUAGUGCAAUAAACCCAUCUCUACUAGUUGUUUUUUUUAAUAGACCCACUCUUGCCACAAAGGACUUCAUGACCUUUCUUAAAAAACUAAAGGUUUACAGAUAUAAGUAUUGCUUCAGAGCAGAUUAUACAUGAAAUAUACAACAGAAAAUGUGACCUUUGACCUUUACAAGUGUACAGAUAUAAUAAGUUUCCUUGUAAUGAUCAUUUAAUUCUCAGCAGUGUUUAGAAGCUUUGCAAAUUCAGCUCCGAAACAACAAAUUUUAAUGUUUUUUAAAUGUUGGUAAAUAUUUGAGUCUCAUGUGGCAUGAAUUAUAUGUAUAUUUGCACAAGAAUAAUACAUGAAUUACUUUAUUGAAGUAAGCUUUAAUAUCACGUGAAGAAGUAUUAGGUAGGUAUGUUUUUAUGUGAUCACCUAGACCAACAUUCUUGACUCGUCACCAGCUUAGGUGGUGAUAAUUUGUGGCUUUGGGGAAGUUAUCAAACUUACAUAUUUUUAAGUGUAAAUUUUUCCUUGACCUUCUUUCAAAAUAAUUUUCCUACUGUAACUCAUGGACCUCAGCUAAUCCCAAGAUGCCAGAGUUUCUUUUCAACUCUGUAAAAGAUACAUAUUGAUGGAUUGCUUAGGCUCGUAUUCUGAAGUCGAUUUAAUAGACGACUAUCCUUCCCAGACAGUUGAGGACGAUUUGAGAGUCAAAUGAGCUGAUACAUUCAAUCUCUACUGUUAGAGAUUUAUGUUGCAACUGGCUAUCCAUAGUUAAUUCACAACUUUAGACCAAAGGUAAAGUUCAAUCCGAUUCUGAAUACUGGCAUUUAUAGAGUUUCAUUCCCCUUUAAUGUGCACAUGUCAUGCCAAAAUAGAACUAAAAAUUUAAAUACCCUUCGAGUUCUUAUUUGAAUUUGUCCCUGAAAUUUUCAUGGAUAUGUAGAUAUGCCUCCCAGAUUGGGGUUCAAAAUGCACACUGUUGCUCUAGAAUUCUUCAGUAAGACAUUAAUCUACGAUUGCCCGUCCUCCACCCGGGUGGAGCAUUCAUGGUAGGCUUACAAAUCUAGAAGAAACUCCUUUCAAUGUUAGUUAAUGUUUGUUGUAUACUUUAUGUAGUACAUGUAUUUAUGUAUCAUCAUGGUGACUUUGCAAUUCUUGUCAUUAAAUUUUAAGAAACACUAAA